rnacentral:tRNA from 1 species
GCCGGGAUAGCUUAAUUCAUAGAACAGAGGACUGCAAAUCCUUGUGUCACAAGUUUAAAUCUCGUUUUUGGUA